ensembl:misc_RNA Y_RNA Y RNA
GGUAGGUGCCAGCGCAGGGGGGUUACAGCUAAUUGAUCACAACCAGUUACAGAUUCCUUUGUUCCUUCUCCUGCUGCUUCACUUGACUAGCCUUUA